AUCGAACGCUGGCGGCAUGCCUUACACAUACAAGUCGAACGGUAACAGGUCUUCGGAUGCUGACGAGUGGCGAACGGGUGAGUAAUACAUCGGAACGUGCCUAGUAGUGGGGGAUAACUACUCGAAAGAGUGGCUAAUACCGAAUGAGAUCUACGGAUGAAAGCAGGGGAUCGCAAGACCUUGUGCUACUAGAGCGGCCGAUGGCAGAGUAGGUAGUUGGUGGGAUAAAAGCUUACCAAGCCGACGAUCUGUAGCUGGUCUGAGAGGACGAUCAGCCACACUGGGACUGAGACACGGCCCAGACUCCUACGGGAGGCAGCAGUGGGGAAUUUUGGACAAUGGGCGCAAGCCUGAUCCAGCAAUGCCGCGUGCAGGAUGAAGGCCUUCGGGUUGUAAACUGCUUUUGUACGGAACGAAAAGCCCUGGGUUAAUACCCUGGGGUCAUGACGGUACCGUAAGAAUAAGCACCGGCUAACUACGUGCCAGCAGCCGCAGUAA
rnacentral:rRNA from 1 species